rnacentral:lncRNA from 1 species
AUAUCUUCCUGAUUUAUUUUUCUGAGAUAACUACAUUGGUUAGAACUUCUAAAACAAAGGUGAGUGAUAAUAGUGGUCAUAAAUAUCCUUAUCUCAUUUAUGACUUUAUGAUAAAAGAAUUUUAAAAAUAUUUCAAACAUCAAAAUAAUAAAAUGUUGUAAUUCAGACAACUUUUUCCAUAUAGUUUUCUUAUAAACAGUCCUUUAAAUACAAACUCUGGAUUGCUUCUAAAUUGUGACAUUCUCUUUUGGGAAAAAAGUACUAAACAUUUUACAUUAAAACAAUCUUUUUUAACUAAAUUGAACACAUACUUUUAAUAAAGACCACAGUAAUUUUUAACACUGGAAAUACAAAGGAUAAAAUAGAAAAUUAUUUUAUUCUUGCAAAUUAAUUUGCAAGACAAAAGAAAUUCAGACAAUAAUGCAGUUUGUACAAUAACCCAAAAUCAAUUAUUUUGUUAAAUAAUAUAUAUGAUAUAAAUAACAGAAAAAAUUAGAACACCAUUUGCAAUAAAAAAUAUUGAGCCCUUUAACUUUAAGGAUAACAUUUUCAUCUAGUAUUCUUGACUUCUUGUGUUUUCGACCUAAAACAGCAUAUACAUUUGGAAAGGAGACUCAAUUUUUCACAAUUCAUACCCCUAUACUCCCACACCCUGAGAAGGCAUAUAAAUUAUUUCUAGAUAUGAAGGUCUUUAAUAUAAAUCAUGCCCCUAAAUUGCUAAGCCCCAAAAUGAGGAAUACUGAAGUCACAAAACAUUUAAGCUCUUCUUUAAGUUAAACAACAGAAGAAAGGACACUAUAUCAAAACUCUACACUAAGUCAAAUAUUCUAGAAGAUUUCCCAAGCCUUAACAAAAUACAUGAUUGCUUGAGGGUUGUAAGUCCAAAGGCAAAAUUGUAAAGCAGAAUAAGAACAUAUUUACUGAACAUUUAUAAAUGAGCCAGACUCUAAGCUAUGAGCCUUAUAUACAUUAUCUCCUAUCACUGAUUUACCUUAUCCCAGCAAGGAAAGUAUUGCCACACUACUGGCUUCACAUUGCCCUUGCUACACAAUCUUCCAUAAGCACUUUCUGUAUAUGGAUUGUAAAUGGCUCCUUGGGACUGACCAUAUGUCUUCUGGAGAAAGGUUGGGGAAGCUUCACUGCAAACAUGGUCUGAGCUUAGGCUGGUCACAGAUUGAUUACUUGGAGACCACUGCAAUCAGCAAAUAAGAGUAACCAUAUACUAGCAUCAGUGAUAGGGGACAAGGUACAAUGACACUGAAGUGGGUCCAGAUGGUCUUCUUUUUUACUGCUCUUAUGGGACACUUUCCUUGAAUUAGAGUAAGGCUGGCUAAGAAACUCCGGAUUUACUUUUUUACAGAUUUUCCAGAAUAUCAAAUAAGGGAAAUUGAUCAAGCAAAACAUACCAAUUCAACAAAACUAGCCCACAGAGCAGUUAUAGUACCUUACAGUAAAAGAUGCUACAAAUUUAAGCAACCUCGGGUUUUCUUCAUUCUUUAAUACACCAACACAUCUAACACAUGUGUGAACUAUUCAUUUGGAAGAGCCAAAAGACUAUCAAAUAAGUUUAUUGCUUCAUAUAUAUCUAUUCCUGGUAUUCAUAUUCCUGUACCAAGCUUCAAGCAAAGAAGGAGCAUCCAAAUUAAGCCUAAGAAAUAGAAAGUAUCUGGAAAGAAUCAACAGUGCCUAAUGAGUAGGUACGGCAUGGAAUCAAGAUAUGAAAUUCUAUAUGUUGAGCUGCUGAUACGUUUUGGAGAGAUACUACACAUAUGUCUCUGCUCUGAUGUCAUAAAGCUUUGAUCACAUCAAGUUUCAAUGGCUUACAACUGCUUCACUUUUACACAGAAUUUUUGAACUAAAAGGGCCCUCAGAGAGAAUCUCGCCUGAUCCAUUCAUUUUGAAUAAUACAAACUGACUUUCUUCAUUCUGGACGACUUUUUCCAAGGGGCAACGAGCCCAACUAGCAACAUUCAAUAUCUGGGCUUCACCUUGACCCAGAAAAUGCAAAUCAAACUAUGCUGAAAGCUUCAUACAAAGGAACUGAAAGAUUGAUUCCUACAAGGUACAGCAUGGAAUGUUAUAAUUUCAUACCAGGGUAGGUAAGUUUUUGAUAAAAGCACUUGCUGAGAUUUCUAAUUUCUUCCCUCAAGGGCAUGAAACUAAGCAAAUUAAUCACUCUAACAUCUAGACUCUUAAGGCAGAGGCCCAUUUAUUAGAAUAUGUUCAAUAGCAGAAGACAUGCUAUGUAUCAUCACACGCCCGCACCUGAUCCUCAACUCUCUGGGCCCAGCGAGCAGCAUCGUUACAGACGCUUAACACAGUUUAACGAAUUUCUCUGAUACACCAACAGUGGCUUGGUCCAUGGUUCCACGGCUCUGCCUCCCAGGGACCAUCAACAACCAAAGGCCCUUUCUCAGUGGUUUUCUUUGAGAUGUUCAGAAGACACCCACACACACCUAACACUGCCCCCACCCACCUGGUUCUGUACCCUUAUAGAGUUGAACAGUUCUCCCUUCCAGCCAAGGGCAGAAAUGAGGAACCUGCCAGAUCGGAGAGUUCCCAAAUCUAAUCACCAUUUAUGCUAGAAUUCCUUCAGCUGCAAAUAAUGCAGGGUCUCAUCUUAGCAGUGACAAGAUAUCUGCCAGCAGCACCAGGCCUACAUCUUCCCAGCUUUAAAUUCAGUGAAAAGACAGGAUCUCUUUCUAAAGCACUGCAAUAAAAUUUCCAGAAUGAAAACUCAUCAGCUUAAUUGGCCUCUGUUGGUUAUCUGCCCAUUUGUGAACCAAUCACUGUGGUCUGAGAGGUGCAAGGACUCCUCUGAUUGGCCUGGCCUGGGCCAUUUGCCCACUUCCGGCAUCAGAAGGAAGGACAGUUUCAAAAGGCAAACUGGGUGUUGCUACAGGAGAGCAUUCAGGCAAACCACAGCCAAUCUCAGGACUCUCCUUGUUCUGCCUUGUCUUCAAAUCCUCUUGCACAUUUUUCCAGCCUCGGACCCGCUGUGCCUCACCAUGUUCAUCUAGCAUAGGACCCUCAAUACAUUUCUCUGACACAGGGAAAACCCAUUUGGUGUAGUGAAUGACCCUAGAGUCAAACAGCCUGGGUUCUAAUUCUGGCUCUAUCAUUUUAGCAAGCUGUAUAAUCUCUCCGUGCCUCAGUUUCCUCAUCAAAAAAAAAAAGGCAGGUGGGCUGGGAGCAGUGGCUCAUG